CGAACGCUGGCAGCGUGGAUUAGGCAUGCAAGUCGGACGGGAUCGGCCGGAUAGCAAUAUUCGGCCGUGAGAGUGGCGGAUUGGGGAGGAGCACGUGAGCAACCUGCCCUGGAGAUGUGGAAAACCUCUGGAAACGGAGGCUAAUACAGAAUGUGGCGCCCGACGGCAUCGUCGGAGCGCCGAAGGGGGCCGCAAGGCUCCCGCUCCGGGAUGGGCUCGCGCACCAUCAGCUAGUUGGCGGGGUAACGGCCCACCAAGGCCUACGGUUAGCUGGUCUGAGAGGAUGACCAGCCCCACUGGGACUGAGAUACUGCCCAGACUCCUACGGGAGGCUGCAGUCGAGGAUCAUUCGCAAUGGGCGAAAGCCUGACGAUGCGACGCUGCGUGGAAGGAUGAAGGCCUUCGGGUCGUAAACUCCUGUCAUGGGGGAAGAGGCGAGGGAAGCGAACACCUUCCUUAGUUGACUGUACCCCAAGAGGAAGCGACGGCUAACUCUGUGCCAGCCGCUGC
rnacentral:rRNA from 1 species